rnacentral:rRNA from 1 species
GAUGAACGCUGGCGGCGUGCCUAAUACAUGCAAGUCGAGCGAACGGACGAGAAGCUUGCUUCUCUGAUGUUAGCGGCGGACGGGUGAGUAACACGUGGAUAACCUACCUAUAAGACUGGGAUAACUUCGGGAAACCGGAGCUAAUACCGGAUAAUAUUUUGAACCGCAUGGUUCAAAAGUGAAAGACGGUCUUGCUGUCACUUAUAGAUGGAUCCGCGCUGCAUUAGCUAGUUGGUAAGGUAACGGCUUACCAAGGCAACGAUGCAUAGUCGACCUGAGAGGGUGAUCGGCCACACUGGAACUGAGACACGGUCCAGACUCCUACGGGAGGCAGCAGUAGGAAAUCUUCCGCAAUGGGCGAAAGCCUGACGGAGCAACGCCGCGUGAGUGAUGAAGGUCUUCGGAUCGUAAAACUCUGUUAUUAGGGAAGAACAUAUGUGUAAGUAACUGUGCACAUCUUGACGGUACCUAAUCAGAAAGCCACGGCUAACUACGUGCCAGCAGCCGCGGUAAUACGUAGGUGGCAAGCGUUAUCCGGAAUUAUUGGGCGUAAAGCGCGCGUAGGCGGUUUUUUAAGUCUGAUGUGAAAGCCCACGGCUCAACCGUGGAGGGUCAUUGGAAACUGGAAAACUUGAGUGCAGAAGAGGAAAGUGGAAUUCCAUGUGUAGCGGUGAAAUGCGCAGAGAUAUGGAGGAACACCAGUGGCGAAGGCGACUUUCUGGUCUGUAACUGACGCUGAUGUGCGAAAGCGUGGGGAUCAAACAGGAUUAGAUACCCUGGUAGUCCACGCCGUAAACGAUGAGUGCUAAGUGUUAGGGGGUUUCCGCCCCUUAGUGCUGCAGCUAACGCAUUAAGCACUCCGCCUGGGGAGUACGACCGCAAGGUUGAAACUCAAAGGAAUUGACGGGGACCCGCACAAGCGGUGGAGCAUGUGGUUUAAUUCGAAGCAACGCGAAGAACCUUACCAAAUCUUGACAUCCUUUGACAACUCCAGAGAUAGAGCUUUCCCCUUCGGGGGACAAAGUGACAGGUGGUGCAUGGUUGUCGUCAGCUCGUGUCGUGAGAUGUUGGGUUAAGUCCCGCAACGAGCGCAACCCUUAAGCUUAGUUGCCAUCAUUAAGUUGGGCACUCUAAGUUGACUGCCGGUGACAAACCGGAGGAAGGUGGGGAUGACGUCAAAUCAUCAUGCCCCUUAUGAUUUGGGCUACACACGUGCUACAAUGGACAAUACAAAGGGCAGCGAAACCGCGAGGUCAAGCAAAUCCCAUAAAGUUGUUCUCAGUUCGGAUUGUAGUCUGCAACUCGACUACAUGAAGCUGGAAUCGCUAGUAAUCGUAGAUCAGCAUGCUACGGUGAAUACGUUCCCGGGUCU